GUGGGGAAUUUUGCGCAAUGGGCGAAAGCCUGACGCAGCGACGCCGCGUGAGGGAGGAAGGCCUUCGGGUUGUAAACCUCUGUCAGGGGGAACGAAGGGUCGGGGGCGAAUACCCCGCCGACUUUGACGCUACUCCUUGAGGAAGCCCCGGCUAACUCCGUGCCAGCAGCCGCGGUAAUACGGAGGGGGCAAGCGUUGCUCGGAAUCACUGGGCGUAAAGCGCGAGCAGGCGGCGUGCCACGUCGAGGGUGAAAUCCCUCCGCUCAACGGAGGAACGGCCUUCGAUACGGGCAUGCUUGAGUGCGCGAUGGGGAGACGGAAUUCCAGGUGUAGAGGUGAAAUUCGUAGAUAUCUGGAGGAACACCGGUGGCGAAGGCGGUCUCCUGGAGCGCAACUGACGCUGAACCGCGAAAGCUGGGGGAGCAAACAGG
rnacentral:rRNA from 1 species